UGGCGGCGUGCCUAAUACAUGCAAGUCGAACGCACUGACGUCGACAGAAGGUGCUUGCACUGGAAGUUGAUUGACGUGAGUGGCGGACGGGUGAGUAACACGUGGGUAACCUGCCCUUAAGCGGGGGAUAACAUUUGGAAACAGAUGCUAAUACCGCAUAAAAGUUGAGAUCACAUGGUCUUAAUUUGAAAGACAGCCUUUGGCUGUCACUUAAGGAUGGACCCGCGGCGUAUUAGCUAGUUGGUGAGAUAAUAGCCCACCAAGGCGAUGAUACGUAGCCGACCUGAGAGGGUAAUCGGCCACAUUGGGACUGAGACACGGCCCAAACUCCUACGGGAGGCAGCAGUAGGGAAUCUUCCACAAUGGACGAAAGUCUGAUGGAGCAACGCCGCGUGAGUGAAGAAGGUUUUCGGAUCGUAAAACUCUGUUGUUGGAGAAGAACAGGGACUAGAGUAACUGUUAGUCCUUUGACGGUAUCUAACCAGAAAGCCACGGCUAACUACGUGCCAGCAGCCGCGGUAAUACGUAGGUGGCAAGCGUUGUCCGGAUUUAUUGGGCGUAAAGCGAGCGCAGGCGGUUUCUUAAGUCUGAUGUGAAAGCCUUCGGCUUAACCGAAGAAGUGCAUCAGAUACUGGGAAACUUGAGUGCAGAAGAGGAAAGUGGAACUCCAUGUGUAGCGGUGAAAUGCGUAGAUAUAUGGAAGAACACCAGUGGCGAAGGCGGCUUUCUGGUCUGUAACUGACGCUGAGGCUCGAAAGUAUGGGGAGCGAACAGGAUUAGAUACCCUGGUAGUCCAUACCGUAAACGAUGAAUGCUAAGUGUUGGAGGGUUUCCGCCCUUCAGUGCUGCAGCUAACGCAUUAAGCAUUCCGCCUGGGGAGUACGACCGCAAGGUUGAAACUCAAAGGAAUUGACGGGGGCCCGCACAAGCGGUGGAGCAUGUGGUUUAAUUCGAAGCUACGCGAAGAACCUUACCAGGUCUUGACAUCUAGCGCCAAUCCUAGAGAUAGGACGUUCCCUUCGGGGACGCUAAGACAGGUGGUGCAUGGUUGUCGUCAGCUCGUGUCGUGAGAUGUUGGGUUAAGUCCCGCAACGAGCGCAACCCUUAUGAUUAGUUGCCAGCAUUUAGUUGGGCACUCAAAUCAGACUGCCGGUGACAAACCGGAGGAAGGUGGG
rnacentral:rRNA from 1 species